GACGAACGCUGGCGGCGUGCCUAAUACAUGCAAGUCGAACGCUGCUUAAGAAGAAACUUCGGUUUUUUCUUAAGCGGAGUGGCGGACGGGUGAGUAACACGUGGGGAACCUAUCCAUCAGCGGGGGAUAACACUUGGAAACAGGUGCUAAUACCGCAUACGGCUUUUUUUCACCUGAAAGAAAGCUCAAAGGCGCUUUACAGCGUCACUGAUGGCUGGCCCCGCGGUGCAUUAGCCAGUUGGUGAGGUAACGGCUCACCAAAGCAACGAUGCAUAGCCGACCUGAGAGGGUGAUCGGCCACACUGGGACUGAGACACGGCCCAGACUCCUACGGGAGGCAGCAGUAGGGAAUCUUCGGCAAUGGACGCAAGUCUGACCGAGCAACGCCGCGUGAGUGAAGAAGGUUUUCGGAUCGUAAAGCUCUGUUGUCAGCAAAGAACAGGAGAAAGAGGAAAUGCUUUUUCCAUGACGGUAGCUGACCAGAAAGCCACGGCUAACUACGUGCCAGCAGCCGCGGUAAUACGUAGGUGGCAAGCGUUGUCCGGAUUUAUUGGGCGUAAAGCGAGCGCAGGCGGUGAUUUAAGUCUGAUGUGAAAGCCCCCAGCUCAACUGGGGAGGGUCAUUGGAAACUGGAUCACUUGAGUGCAGAAGAGGAGAGUGGAAUUCCAUGUGUAGCGGUGAAAUGCGUAGAUAUAUGGAGGAACACCAGUGGCGAAGGCGGCUCUCUGGUCUGUAACUGACGCUGAGGCUCGAAAGCGUGGGUAGCAAACAGGAUUAGAUACCCUGGUAGUCCACGCCGUAAACGAUGAGUGCUAAGUGUUGGAGGGUUUCCGCCCUUCAGUGCUGCAGUUAACGCAUUAAGCACUCCGCCUGGGGAGUACGACCGCAAGGUUGAAACUCAAAGGAAUUGACGGGGGCCCGCACAAG
rnacentral:rRNA from 1 species